UGUUAUUUUUGCUUAUGAUCUAUCACACUGUCUGUCCAUCCAUCUGUGUGCUACAAUCUUUACAAGUUUUUCCCCAGGUUUUGAUUACCUCCAUACAGCAGCUCCAAGCAAGGGAUGACUGAUACUUCCACCACUCUCAAUCCAUCUCACAACAGAGCUGGGGCUCUUCAAGGUGCAAUUGCUUUACCAGCUCCAAUUUCCAGCAGUUUCUCAUCUGCAUCUCGCCUUUCCCAGGGAUAAACGACACCAGGCAGGGCCAGCAGGCACUGAAUGAAUGCCCAGGUGAGCUGCACUUGGACCAGAACCAUUCUCUAGGAGAGUCACUGUUCACCUCUCACUGCUCUCCUGAAUUUCUGUUCACUCAACCAGCUCCAGAAAACAUCUCCCAGAGGAGCCCAGCAGCCACACAAGGGAGCAUAGUGCUGAAGUUCCUUGGGAAGCUGUCCUUUUCAAAUGACUGACUGAAGAGCUCCAACUGUUUAUUCCCACCAAAUGAUUCUGGCUUGUUGAAGAUGACUGAACACAUUGCUGGGCCUUUCAGCUGAGCUCCUUUCAAGUGAGAACAAAAGGCUGCUUGUCAAGUGUAUCAAUACAAUUGUGACUCCCAUGGUCAUUGCCGGUGUGAUGUUGUCAGGCACAUUCCUGGGAGCAAGAGUGACUUCAAAGCAAGACCAUUUAAAUGGCAUUGUUUGCUCCAUAAUUUUGAAAUGGAUGGCUUUGGGAAGUACAUCAGCUGGAAGAACAGUGCAAAAAGGUCAACAUUCCCCUGGUUUACAAGGGCAGGGUAACCAGGGUGUUAAAAGUGCUUAUUUUCCCUAUGGCAUUUCCAGGGAGAAGCCCAGAGUGACAGCUCAGAUGGAAAUACCCACAUGGCAGAUGACUAAAGGCAGGUGACAUAAAUCCACCCCGUGCCUUGCUCUACUCAUUUCCUUUUUAUCAGUCACACUCCCUUCUUCCCUCCUCAUUUCAGAAGGGUUUUGUGUGUAAACAGAGAUGGGAUAACUUUUGUGAGGUUUCCCUCAAAAAGCUUGGUACAAGGAGGUCAGUGUAGGAAAGAUGUGUUCUCCUGGCUUGCCCCUCACCCUGCCUGAUUGCCCAGUGCCUGAGGCCAUGGGCAAGAAGCCCAGUAGGUCACAUUAGAGCCCACCUGAGUCUAGGUCAGUCUCUGUUCCUGGAGAACAGCUUGCACUCCUCCUCCUGCUUGGAUCCCCACGAUUCUCCUGCUGGCCGUGCACAGGGUUAAAGACAGGUUUGGAAGCAACAUCUGUACUCGAUGGGAAGCUGGGCCAAGACUGAGAGUUUGCCAAGCAGCCCUUUGUCUGUGGUGCGUAAAUCUACACCUCUUGCAAAGGGAGAAGAGCAAGGAAGGAAAGGCAGUGCCAACUUGCAGAUCUGUAAAAGAGGCUUUUAAGCUCUCUAGGGGGGUAAUGUGCAACUGCUAAAUAUACUUCAGGAGAAAUACAGCCAGAUCAUUUCUUUCCUCAGCCUCAAUACAACUCUUUAUGUUUUUCCUCUUGAGAGGGGACAGCAAUGCAGCAUCGGCAGGGAAAAGGCUGGAAGGAACAGUGGGUUUGGUCUAUUUGCUGUUAACUCCACCAUGUGCCUCAUCAAGAGUUUUUCCAGUUAUCCUGUCUCGAUCCGUAGGGAAAAAGAAUUGAGAGAGAAAGAUGUGGAAAAGGAAAAAUGAAGGGUUUCUGUGCAUGCAGGGGAAGAUAUUUUGACAAAAUGGGUGAUGGUGACUAAGAAAAGGGGAGAAGAGGCAAGUGUUAAAUGAGUUUGUGUUCCUGGCUGCUGAGUAGCCCCAGGAGGUUCCCAGCAAGGCUGCCGCUUUUUUAUUGGAGUUUUGUGCCGGAGUUAUAAACCCUUUAAAUGAGCCUAGAUCAUUAGGGAAGCUUGGCUGAUCACUGAUGAAAAAAUAUAACAAUUAAAACAAAGGGCUGGAAAAGGGAAGCAGAGGGAGAAGGAGCUGGGGGUGAGCAGUUUUAAUACUUAAUAACAAAUACUAAUAAUGGUGCUGAGUUGGGGACUAAUUAAAAGUUUCUAAAAAGAGAGAGGAAGAGAGUGGGAUUAAUCUGGAGUGUUUUGUCUGGCAGCUUCUGUGAGUGCCCGAAAAGCUACCCUGGCAAGGAGGACAGGACAGAACACUGGGAACCAAGCAAAGCUCUGGAGAGAGAUGAAUCUGAGCCAUGGUGGAGCCCAGCUCCACCUGCUCUUCUGAGCUCUGUGUUUUGGUGUCUGCCCCAUAUUUCAGGAUGGUCAUUCUCCUACAUGGAGCAAAGGGACUGGGGAAGAGGAGCAAAGGAGGGAGUUUGAAGGGUGGAGAGAGCAAAAUUCUUCUGUGAAAAAGGGAUUGCUUUGGGCAAAGAGACCUGGGUGGUGGCAGCAUAGAUCUGAGACUUGUGCAUGUAGUGACACCCAUAGCCAUGGUAGGAGCCAAGGAAACAGGACCCAGGAAGGACCACAGGUGGCAACAACUCAGGGAGCCACUGCCAUGUCGUUUUCCAGGGGCUGGAAGAGCAUUCAGAGGAAGAAUUGCUGAACACUUUGCCUCUUGCUCUGCUGCUCUCAGCUGCUGUCAGGACACGAUGGCAGAUGAGAUGGGUUUCCUUGGCUGCUCCUCUACCAUUCCUUCUAUCUGUGCUCUGUCUGAGUGCACCUUUCCCCCCACAGAGAUAAAUGCUCUCAAAAGCAGCAGUCUCACAGGUCUGCCUCCAGCUGUGCCUCCAGCUGUGCCUCCAGCUGUGUCCUGAGGUCUGGGGGUGGUAAAGGCUGAAAUAACCAAAGCACCAACUAUUGUCUUUCCCUCACCAGUUCAGCAGCUGCCUGAGGGACAGUUCAGCCUGGAGAAACAUCUUUUGUGGUUAAUUUCAGCUAAACUCUUGUAGGCACCACCACUGCCAUCUCCAAUGCUUCAUCCUUGUGGAUAAAGGACCUGGCUGUGGGGAAUGCCAGCUUCAGACACCAAGUUCCUGCCAGCAUGAGCUCCUUUUACUUUCUCAUAUGUGCAGGAGACUCUAAGUUUUAAUUAUUAUUGCUUUUUGCUGCUCUUUGUCUUAAUUAAGUCUGACUUGCUGACUAUUUCAAGGGAGAUGAUGUCUGGGUAACGCCUUCCUGCCUUGAAUUUUGGAUUUUGGAAAGAGAGAUAUGAAGCCCUUCAUCACUGGAUCUGCUGGGCAGCAGAAAUGCAAUGUCAUAGGGACUGGAGGUGCAGUGGGACUAGGCAAAAGCUCAACUAAAAUGGGACAAUCCACCUGGAAUGAGCGCAGAGCAAGAAAGCCAUGGGGGUGUGUGCCUGGCAGGUAGAAGAGAUUUCCCAGAAAAUUCCUCUGUAUUAGUCUAUCUGGCAUCUGACUUAGAAUCAUAGAAUCAUUAAGGUUGGAAAAGACCUGUAAGAUCAUUGAGUCCAACUGUUAAC